GACGAACGCUGGCGGCGUGCUUAACACAUGCAAGUCGAACGGAAAGGCACUGCUUUUGUGGGGUGAUCGAGUGGCGAACGGGGGAGUAACAGGUGAGUAACCUGCCCUUGACUUUGGGAUAACUUCAGGAAACUGGGGCUAAUAACGGAUAGGAGCUCCUGCUGCAUGGUGGGGGUUGGAAAGUUUCGGCGGUUGGGGAUGGACUCGCGGCUUAUCAGCUUGUUGGUGGGGGAGUGGCUUGCCUAGGAUUUGACGGGUAGCCGGCCUGAGGGGGUGACCGGCCACAUUGGGACUGAGAUACGGCCCAGACUCCUACGGGAGGCAGCAGUGGGGAAUAUUGCACAAUGGGCGGAAGCCUGAUGCAGCACCGCCGCGUGCGGGAUGACGGCCUUCGGGUUGUAAACCGCUUUCGCCUGUGACGAAGCGUGAGUGACGGUAAUGGGUAAAGAAGCACCGGCUAACUACGUG
rnacentral:rRNA from 1 species